rnacentral:ncRNA from 2 species
GAUUUAUACAGAAGAGGCGAGAGACAGGCUCGAUGACCCUCUGGCAACCUUCCGCUUCGGUGGAAAGGUGCCAAUUCCUGCCGGUUGAGAUGGUCUCAAUUGGAACUAUAAAUU